rnacentral:pre_miRNA from 1 species
UGGAAGACUAGUGAUUUUGUUGUUUUUAAACUGAUAAAAAGGACAACAAGUCAUAGUCUACCACC